CUUAACGUGGUGUCAGUUUGCGUUGAAUCCCAUCCAAAUGUGUGAUGCAUUGAGUCAACGGUUAUUUCAAACAAAUUAGAGGUAGCGUUGCCCUUUAAUGAUUCGUUAUUAAGUAUACUCAAAUAUGAAAAGUGUGGUAUGAAAUAACCGCACACACACACACACUCGCUUAUGGAUUUAACACAAAACCCCCCCCCCAAAAAAAACACUUUGGUGCUUUAUUUUGAGUCUUAAAAAAGUGAAACUCCACCACAAAUAUUUUCAAUAUCUAUGUUUUUAUUAUAGAUUCACUGACUCUAGAUUGAUUGAGUCAGAUGGUGGGCACUGGGCAGAAUAUAAGCAGGUUCUGAUACAUAAAUGGUUUGCAAAGUGGGUGUUUUUAUACUUUUUUAGGCCUUGAAAAGUUGUUACAGUUAUAGCUAACAUGAAUCAAAAUUGAACACAGCUCUCUCUUUUUCCAAGCCACCUUUACAGCUGCCAAGAGGUUAAAAUCAUAAUCCAUAAGAUUUCAGUAUGUGGUAAUUUAAUGCAAAAAUAUGAUUUAAAUGAAAUACAAUUACUAAAAAGUAAUCUGGGAUUACAUACU